CGAUUGAACGCUGGCGGCAUGCCUUACACAUGCAAGUCGAACGGUAACGCGGGGCAACCUGGCGACGAGUGGCGAACGGGUGAGUAAUACAUCGGAACGUGCCCAGUAGUGGGGGAUAGCCCGGCGAAAGCCGGAUUAAUACCGCAUACGACCUACGGGUGAAAGCAGGGGAUCGCAAGACCUUGCGCUAUUGGAGCGGCCGAUGUCAGAUUAGGUAGUUGGUGGGGUAAAAGCCUACCAAGCCUACGAUCUGUAGCUGGUCUGAGAGGACGACCAGCCACACUGGGACUGAGACACGGCCCAGACUCCUACGGGAGGCAGCAGUGGGGAAUUUGGACAAUGGGCGCAAGCCUGAUCCAGCCAUGCCGCGUGCGGAAGAAGGCCUUCGGGUUGUAACCGCUUUUGUCAGGAAGAAACGCUCGUGGACUAAGUACCCGGGUAAU
rnacentral:rRNA from 1 species